rnacentral:rRNA from 1 species
ACGAACGCUGGCGGCAUGCCUAACACAUGCAAGUCGAACGAGACCUUCGGGUCUAGUGGCGCACGGGUGCGUAACGCGUGGGAACCUGCCCUUAGGUUCGGAAUAACUCCCCGAAAGGGGUGCUAAUACCGGAUAAUGUCUUCGGACCAAAGAUUUAUCGCCUUUGGAUGGGCCCGCGUUGGAUUAGCUAGUUGGUAGGGUAAAAGCCUACCAAGGCGACGAUCCAUAGCUGGUCUGAGAGGAUGAUCAGCCACACUGGGACUGAGACACGGCCCAGACUCCUACGGGAGGCAGCAGUGGGGAAUAUUGGACAAUGGGCGAAAGCCUGAUCCAGCAAUGCCGCGUGAGUGAUGAAGGCCUUAGGGUUGUAAAGCUCUUUUAACCGGGAUGAUAAUGACAGUACCGGGAGAAUAAGCUCCGGCUAACUCCGUG